AUAAAUCCGGACUCUCAGCAACGUGGGCAGUAGGGAGGAUCUUGAAGAAUUCCACCGCGACCAGGUAACUGUGCACAGACCAAGCUCCAUGAGACACCAUC